GGCUCAGAUUGAACGCUGGCGGAAUGCUUUACACAUGCAAGUCGAACGGCAGCACGGACUUCGGUCUGGUGGCGAGUGGCGAACGGGUGAGUAAUAUAUCGGAACGUGCCCAGUCGUGGGGGAUAACGUAGUGAAAGUUACGCUAAUACCGCAUACGAUCUACGGAUGAAAGCGGGGGACUCGCAAGAGCCUCGCGCGAUUGGAGCGGCCGAUAUCAGAUUAGGUAGUUGGUGGGGUAAAGGCUCACCAAGCCAACGAUCUGUAGCUGGUCUGAGAGGACGACCAGCCACACUGGAACUGAGACACGGUCCAGACUCCUACGGGAGGCAGCAGUGGGGAAUUUUGGACAAUGGACGCAAGUCUGAUCCAGCCAUUCCGCGUGCAGGAUGAAGGCCCUCGGGUUGUAAACUGCUUUUGUACGGAACGAAAAGGUUUCUAUUAAUACUAGGAGCUCAUGACGGUACCGUAAGAAUAAGCACCGGCUAACUACGUG
rnacentral:rRNA from 1 species